rnacentral:rRNA from 1 species
AACGAACGCUGGCGGCAUGCCUAACACAUGCAAGUCGAACGAGAUCUUCGGGUCUAGUGGCGCACGGGUGCGUAACGCGUGGGAAUCUGCCCUUUGGUUCGGAAUAACAGUUGGAAACGACUGCUAAUACCGGAUGAUGACGAAAGUCCAAAGAUUUAUCGCUAGAGGAUGAGCCCGCGUAGGAUUAGCUAGUUGGUGUGGUAAAGGCGUCUCAAGGCGACGAUCCUUAGCUGGUCUGAGCGGAGGAGCAGCCACAAUGGUACGGAAACAGGGACCAGACUCCUACGGGAGGCAGCAUUGUGGAAUAUUGGACAAUGGGCGAAAGCCUGAUCCAGCAAUGCCGCGUGAUUGAUGAAGGCCUUAGGGUUGUAAAGCUCUUUUACGCGGGAUGAUAAUGACAGUACCGGGAGAAUAAGCUCCGGCUAACUCCGUGCCAGCAGCCGCCGUAA